rnacentral:rRNA from 1 species
GAUGAACGCUGGCGGCGUGCCUAAUACAUGCAAGUCGAGCGAAUGGAUUAAGAGCUUGCUCUUAUGAAGUUAGCGGCGGACGGGUGAGUAACACGUGGGUAACCUGCCCAUAAGACUGGGAUAACUCCGGGAAACCGGGGCUAAUACCGGAUAACAUUUUGAACCGCAUGGUUCGAAAUUGAAAGGCGGCUUCGGCUGUCACUUAUGGAUGGACCCGCGUCGCAUUAGCUAGUUGGUGAGGUAACGGCUCACCAAGGCAACGAUGCGUAGCCGACCGGAGAGGGUGAGCGGCCACACUGGGAAUGAGACACGGCCCAGACUCCUACGGGAGGCAGCAGUAGGGAAUCUUCCGCAAUGGACGAAAGUCUGACGGAGCAACGCCGCGUGAGUGAUGAAGGCUUUCGGGUCGUAAAACUCUGUUGUUAGGGAAGAACAAGUGCUAGUUGAAUAAGCUGGCACCUUGACGGUACCUAACCAGAAAGCCACGGCUAACUACGUGCCAGCAGCCGCUGUAA